ACUCAAAUGAAUUGACGGGGGCCCGCACAAGCGGUGGAGCAUGUGGUUUAAUUCGAUGCAACGCGAAGAACCUUACCUACCCUUGACAUCCUAGGAAUCUUUUAGAGAUAAGAGAGUGCCUUCGGGAGCCUAGAGACAGGUGCUGCAUGGCUGUCGUCAGCUCGUGUCGUGAGAUGUUGGGUUAAGUCCCGCAACGAGCGCAACCCUUAUCCUUAGUUACCAGCAUGAAAGAUGGGUACUUUAAGGAGACUGCCGGUGAUAAGCCGGAGGAAGGUGGGGACGACGUCAAGUCAUCAUGGCCCUUAUGGGUAGGGCUACACACGUGCUACAAUGGCCGUUACAGAGGGAAGCGAAGUCGCGAGGCGGAGCAAAUCUCACAAAAGCGGUCUUAGUCCGGAUUGUAGUCUGCAACUCGACUACAUGAAGUUGGAAUCGCUAGUAAUCGCAGAUCAGAAUGCUGCGGUGAAUACGUUCUCGGGCCUUGUACACACCGCCCGU
rnacentral:rRNA from 1 species